AUUAUUAUCUAGAUUUUCUCUCAUAUUUUCUAGAAGAUUUAAAUCGUCAAAUGAUGAGAAACAAAACUCGAGUAUGAACUCUAAGCACACCUUAAAACCAAUGAAACUAAGUAUACUCACUAUUCAUCUUUUCUGGUUCUCAAAGUGCUCUCGAUAGCAAAUCUCUAGAUUCUUGCUUAAUUUUCAAGAAACAAGAUAAACUACUCUACUUCUGCAUGUUGACGAGUUUGCAAAACAAAAGGAUUUCAGUGCCCGAAGGCUAUGUUUCAAGGUCAAAUCAUAAACAUGUCAAAGGGUCAAACAAAGAAUUGUUACAAACUUUCACAAAGAGACAGGUAAUGGACUUGUAACAUCUCAAAAUUUGUAAAACCACAGAAAGCAUCUCAAAUACCAUAUACCAUUUUCUUUUAUAAAGAGUUAAAGACUGUAUCUUUAACCUUAUAUCAGCAUAGUAAAUCAAACCAUCGAAAUGGGCUGCUAAACUAUUGGGAUGCUAUGCCAUUUAGAAUAAAUGACCUGAUUUCAGAAGUUAGGUUCUCCCAAUGAUGCUUGAUACAACACCAAAUCAAAUAAUCAGAACAAACAUACUAAAUUCAAAUUUCAUAAUUGAAUAUACUAAUCCAUAUUUCAUUAUCAUAUAUAGCCAUAUAGGGCUAUCUAGAUAUGGAUACAGUAUUCUAAUUUUAACCACGAGGAUAUUAUCAUUGCUUAUUUCGAUUACGAAAAUUUUUAUUGAUGUCUUUGACUUAUCAAUCAUAAAUGAUGUGACUCUAACAUCCACCUAUGCCAUAAUAUAAAACUAGUAGAUUACAUAAAGUCAUACAGUUACCAUAAAUUUAAAGACUUAAAUAGUACUAAUAUGUAGAAGAAAAACAAGAGGGUACCUGAGAAUACAAGAAAGUUCCAAAGAUAGCGAUGGCAGCUCCAAGAGCAUUAAUUGGUUGAACGGGUGUACGAAAUAUGAUAAUAGAGGAAACAAUAACAGAUAUACGUUUCAUCGUGUUUCCGAUACUAAACGUCAACGGAGAGAUUUCAUCAAGUGACAUAUAUGAAACUUGAUUGUACAAAUGAUAGAAGAUACUUUGGGCUGCCACCCACCUAUAAGGCACAAAAAGAGCAACACAAAUAUGUCUUUUAGUCAUUUAAAUUGCAAUAAGAACAAAUAUAAAGAAUAUGUCAGAAAAUGGAGCUUCCAAACUACUCAAAAUAUUAAUAAAGACUUUUAUGACAUCAGCAUGAAGCUAAUCAAUGUUCUACUUAGUAUCGGAGCCAAUAGAAGGGACGGCAGUUGUAAUCGUCCCCCUACCACUAACUUUCGUAUUAAAAACAAAUUUUGAAGAUUUAGUACAAAAUCAUUCUUUAAGGUGGUGUUUAUAUGUGCAUUUUAAAAGGUACAGCGAUAUUAAAUAACCAGAAUAAAAAUAUGGCAUUUGAAGUUGUCAGAAUGAAAUAAUCAGUUGUUUGAGUGUUUACCAAAUUCUAAUUAUCUUACGUAACUAAUCUAUAAACUGACUAAGAAUACAUUUUCGAAAAAGUCAGAGAUUAUUUUAUCUGGCAACUCGUUUGCCAAUAAAGAUGCAAAUUAUGGUAAAUCGCCGUCACAGAAUCCUAGGUGGCUCCCAUAAUACCACAAAGCUUAAAAAUGAAUAUUAUAAUGUAAAGGCUACAAAUGCUCUAAUUUAAACAAUCCACAUAGCAAUGUGACAAAGGGGAAGGUUGGUUAUCAUAUGGUUACCAAAUGAAAUGGGGUCCAAUUUCAGAGACAGCAUUUUGCCAUCCAGCAGCCCACAUCUUUGGUCCCUCAACGGCAAUUGCAAAUGGCGUAAGGAUCAAAAGUGAUAACAAUGAUAAACAAGCAUAGUAGUUCAUUCCGCUAACAGACUUCCCCUUCAUGCCUCUUUUGGAAAAAAUGUUCCUGAACACAAACGCCAAGUUUGAUAUCAUAGCCCCCAUAAAACCUAAACUUCAACAAUAAACAACAAUUAGAACCCGUUAAGAAAGCCUAAUCACUUUCAAAGAUUCAAGUUAUGUAAUUACCAAUCAUGUUGAAAUUGAGCUCGGUAAGGGCAGCGAGACCACAACCACCAAUGAUCGGCAGAAGAGACAAGUAAACUGAUGCCGGGAAUGUUUCUCCCAAGAUGAACCUUGAAACCAAGACACUAAAAGCUGGCUCGCCACUCUUGAUGAUGUGUGUGAAAGAAACGGCAACUUUAGACAUGCUUACAGUUGCUGCUACAUGACCAAUUGUAUGUGCCAAAGCAACCUGUAAAAUAUCAUCAUAUAAUUUAUAUAACCUAUAAAUAAACCAUACCCUGAUCACAGAAACGCAAAAAAAAAAUGCACAUCGAAAUGAACAUAAAGAACCCGAGAUCACAUGGAGACAGAUAAGAGACAAUUCAGAUCAAAUUCCAGAUUAUAAAUCCCUAAAGUAUAACAAAUGAGCAAUUCCCAGAUUAAUUUAUGAGAAUUUAAAAAAACCCGGACAUAAACCCUAAAAAGACCAAAGCUUGCAGAACCUGGAGACAAAUUAAUAAUAAUUCAGAAUAAAACACAGAUCAUACUUUUUAAAAGAAACAUAAAUUAACAAUACUCAUUUAAUUAGUAAAAAAACAAAACAAAACCCAAAUAAUUUAAGCAACUAAGAAAAACCCAAAAUAAGAUCAAAACAUGAAAUACCUGGAAUGAAUAUCUUAACAAAUCCCCAAACAUAAUAUCAAAAAAAGAUCAAAACUUGCUACAAAGAAACAAAAUUUGAGAAAAUGCCCAGAUUAAUUAUAAAUUAUUAAGCAAAACACAAAUCAGUUUAUGAACAAUCAAACAAAACUAGAUCAUAAAACCUGUAAAGAUAAACACUUGCUUACAUGGAACCAAUUUUCUUAAAAACAAGUAUACCAAUAGUUAAAAAAAUGCAAAUUAUAAACAAUUAAACAAAAUCCAAAAUGAUACAACCUAGAAAGAUCAAAACUUGCAACAUAGAAAUCAAUUAAAAAAAUCUCCCAUAUAUAGUUAUGAAGAAUUAAACAAUACCCAGAUUAGAUUAUGAAAAAAUAAACAAAACCCAGAUCAUAGACCCAACUUGCUUAAAUAGAUUUUUUUUUUUUUUAAUAAAAAAUAAUACACAGAUUAAUUUAUGAACAAUUAAACAAACCCAGCUCAUAAAACAUGUAAAAAUAUAUAUAUACACAAAAAAGAUGAAAACUUUGCUUACAGGAAAUAAAGAUUUCCAGAAAUCAAGAUCAGUAUUAGGUGCUUCAGCAAGCUUAGUCCCCCAUGAAAGCAACAUAAUUGUUGAUCCAGCAGCAAGUGACAACAAUGAAGUCAACCAUGGAUAUGGAAAUGCAUUCAAUACUUUUUUAUUAUAUAUAUUAAAUAUAACAUUUAGAAACCACCAUGUUGCAAAAUAAACACCAAUUUUAGCCUUU